CCUACGGGUGGCAGCAGUGAGGAAUAUUGGUCAAUGGACGAGAGUCUGAACCAGCCAAGUAGCGUGAAGGAUGACUGCCCUAUGGGUUGUAAACUUCUUUUAUAUGGGAAUAAAACAGGGUAUGCAUACUCUUUUGUAUGUACCAUAUGAAUAAGGAUCGGCUAACUCCGUGCCAGCAGCCGCGGUAAUACGGAGGAUCCGAGCGUUAUCCGGAUUUAUUGGGUUUAAAGGGAGCGUAGGUGGAUUGUUAAGUCAGUUGUGAAAGUUUGCGGCUCAACCGUAAAAUUGCAGUUGAGACUGGCAGUCUUGAGUACAGGAGAGGUGGGCGGAAUUCGUGGUGGAGCGGUGAAAUGCUUAGAUAUCACGAAGAACUCCGAUUGCGAAGGCAGCUCACUGGACUGCAACUGACACUGAUGCUCGAAAGUGUGGGUAUCAAACAGGAUUAGAUACCCUAGUAGUC
rnacentral:rRNA from 1 species